CCUACGGGAGGCAGCAGGGAGGAAUAUUGGUCAAUGGGCGCGAGCCUGAACCAGCCAAGUAGCGUGAAGGAUGAAGGCCCGACGGGUUGUAAACUUCUUUUAUAAAGGAAUAAAGUGAGGCACGUGUGCCUUUUUGUAUGUACGUUAUGAAUAAGGAGCGGCUAACUCCGUGCCAGCAGCCGCGGUAAGACGGAGGAUCCGAGCGUUAGCCGGAUUUAUUGGGUUUAAAGGGAGCGUAGAUGGGUUGUUAAGUCAGUUGUGAAAGUUUGCGGCUCAACCGUAAAAUUGCAAUUUAUACUGGCAGUCUUGAGUACAGUUGCGGUCGGCGGCCUUCGUGUUGUAGCGG
rnacentral:rRNA from 1 species